rnacentral:tRNA from 1 species
GUGGCUGUGGCUCAAUGGUAGAGCACUUGUCUUGCAUGUAUGGGGCCCUGGGUUUGAUCCUCAACACCACA